UGAUAUAGCCUGUUAUAUAGCCAUUUAACUUGAAAGAUUAAAUCAUUCCAUCCUUUUUAGAAUUAGGUAGAAGAAUUUAAUUUCCUUGUCUGAUGAAAAUGUAUAAGUUUGAGGUUGUUAUUGGAAGUUAGCAACGUUUAAGUUUGGUCUUGGGGAACUAUAGAAGUUAAUCAAAAGAAAGAAAAAGAAAAUAAAAAAAUAAGAAGUUAAUUCUUU
rnacentral:lncRNA from 1 species